GCCGGGCGCAGUGGCGGGCGCCUGUAGUCCCGGCUACUCGGGAGGCUGAGGCAGGAGAAUGGCGUGAACCCGGGAGGCGGAGCUUGCAGUGAGCUGAGAUCCGGCCACUGCACUCCAGCCUGGGCGACAGAGCGAGACUCCGUCUCAAAAAAAAAAAAAAAAAAAAAAGACAGAGUCUCACUCUGUCACCCAGGCUGGAGUGCAGUGGUGCAAUCUCAGCUCACCACAACCUCUGCUUCCUGGGUUCAAGCGAUUCUCCAGCCUCAG
rnacentral:sRNA from 1 species